rnacentral:rRNA from 1 species
CGUAGGGGGCUAGCGUUGUCCGGAUUUAUUGGGCGUAAAGAGCGUGUAGGCGGCCAGGUAGGUCUGCUGUGAAAACUCGAGGCUCAACCUCGAGACGUCGGCGGAAACCAUCUGGCUAGAGUCCGGAAGAGGAGAGUGGAAUUCCUGGUGUAGCGGAGAAAUGCGCAGAUAUCAGGAAGAACACCCGUGGCGAAGGCGGCUCUCUGGGACGGUACUGACGCUGAGACGCGUAAGCGUGGGGAGCGAACAGGAUUAGAUACCCUGGUAGUCCACGCCGUAAACGAUGGGUGCUAGGUGUGGGCGGUGUCGACUCCGUCCGUGCCGAAGCUAACGCAUUAAGCACCCCGCCUGGGGAGUACGGCCGCAAGGCUA